rnacentral:lncRNA from 1 species
UGCUUUUGGAUACUUAAGUGACCACCUCACUUUUUUGUGAUGCGGCUUGUUCAAUUUUUGGAUAGUUCUCGUGGACACAUGGAAAUGCUGAGUAGAACUAUGAUACAAAUCAGCUCACCAUAAAGUACAAUCUCCAGUGGCCAGAGAGAACUAAAAGGGAACUAAAAACCCGCAUGACACAGUUAACUUUGGGGCUUAAGAUGAGAUAAGGAGUGAUGGCGCUUGCCAGUAAUCCCAGCUAUUCCAGAGGUCAAGCUGGAAGGAUCCCUUGAGCCGAGUGCGAGGCUGCAUUGAACUAUUACCACACCACUGCACUCCAGCCUGGGCAACAGAGUGAGACCUCAUCUCUGGACAAGUGUUAUUUGUGACAGCACAAUGUUUGAUGCAACCCAAAGUUGAAUGAAAGUGGACCAGCUAAAUAAACCAUGAACAUUUACGC